ensembl:snRNA U6 U6 spliceosomal RNA
GUGCUCACUUCAGUAGCACAUAUACUCAAAUUGGAAUGAUACAAAGAAGAUUAGCAUGGCCCCUGAGCAAGGAUGACAUGCAAAUUCAUGAAGUGUUUCAUAUUUUU